GGGGAUGGAGCUCAGUGGUAGAGCACUUGCCUAGCAUGCAGGAGGCCCUGAGUUGAAUCCCCU
rnacentral:tRNA from 1 species